rnacentral:rRNA from 1 species
UACGUAGGUGGCAAGCGUUGUCCGGAUUUACUGGGCGUAAAGAGCGCGCAGGCGGUCGUUCAAGUUGGACGUGAAAGCUCCCGGCUUAACUGGGAGAGGCCGUUCAAAACUGAGAGGCUAGAGUGAGGCAGAGGAGCGCGGAAUUCCCGGUGUAGUGGUGGAAUGCGUAGAUAUCUGGAGGAACACCGGUGGCGAAGGCGGCAUCCUGGACCGGUAUUGACGCUGAGGCGCGAAAGCUAGGGGAGCAAACGGG